UAUAACAAAAUGAAUCCAUAUAUCUACCCAGCCUCUGGUAACAUAGAAUUUCAUAAAACCACAGUUUUGAGACAGACUUCUCAACGAGUUUUCAUUUUUGCUAAUUUGUCUGCAAAACCAUACGUUUUGUGUCCAAUUGUCCCACAUCACCCAAAACACAACGGUUUAAGCGCAUUUGACGUAUUUCUUACAUGUGGGUCCGUGUGUCAGGCGUUUUUUCAUUAGAGGUCUUGUCUUUUUCUUUUUUCUUUCUCAUCCCCUCAUCUUCUUCUACCAUACAACUUAUCUCACUUCGCAGGGCAAAUAAAAUAGGAAAUGACCCGUCCCAUACAACUUUUGGCCAUAUAUAACGCCCGCGGGCGCUGAUGCAUUUUCAGCGUGUGUAGUUGGUCAGCGCCACCACUACGAAGGAAACGUACUUUACGAUCAACACGCAUACUGGAGUACGUAAAACGUACUCCAACUCUUACUGAAUACAACUCUUAAUUAACCAGUGAGAAACAUGCCCAUCGGUGAUCGGUCAAUCAACCGUGGCCAGCCGCCAGCCUACUAUGGUACA
rnacentral:lncRNA from 1 species